rnacentral:tRNA from 1 species
GCCUGUGUAGCUCAGUGGCUUAGAGCAUCUGCCUUGUAAGCAGAGGGUCGGGGGUUCGACUCCCUCCACAGGCU